CAGGCGUUCCCAAAUUUCUGGGCUGGAACCUUCCCAUCCCAUCCUGGGGCAGGGAAGAGUGGCAGGGUGGGGUUGGUGGGUCACACAGCUUGGGAAUAUCCAAAGCUGAGCAUUCCCAGUGGAUCCUUGGCAAAUUUUGGGAUGUCUCAGUGGGCAACAUCUCAAACCAAGCCUGUGAGGAUGCAGGGAAUGAGGGGAUGGAGCUCAGGGGAUUUAGGGAUGGAGACAAAUGGAUUUAGGGGAUGGAAUUCCAGGGAUUGAGGGGAUGGAGCUGCAGGGAUUGAAGGGAUGGAAUUCCAGGGAUUUAGGGGAUGGAAUUCCAGGGAUUGAGGGGAUGGAGCUGCAGGGAUUGAAGGGAUGGAAUUCCAGGGAUGAGGGGAUGGAGCUGCAGGGAUUAGGGGAUGGAGCUGCUCCGGCGCCCUGGCGGGUGAGUCACGGCCCCUCUGAGUCACAUCCGUGAUUUCAUCGCUGCAGGCUCAGGCUGGAAGUGCCCCGAGGAGGAGAUUGCUGACCCUGGGAGUGCAGAGCAGUGGGAUGUUCAUGGGGAUGUUCACGGGGAUGUUCAUGGGAGUGCAGUGCAGCUCCAGCUGGAUGAGUCCCACACGUUUUGGGAUGUGCUGAUGUCAUCGUGCUGACAAUGUGUGCUGGGGAAAAAAAAAAAAACCUCCAGGCCACAAUCUGCAGGUUCCUGGAAGCUCUGAGGAGGAUUUAUUGUUCUGUGCUGCAGAAUGAGGCUUUGCACCCUCCCUUCCCUGCCUUAUCCUGAGGUUUGCAGGUGUGGUUUGGGUGCUGGAGGAGCUGGGGCUGCUCCAAUCCCUGUGGAUUGUAAGGCUGAAAAUUCCCAGGAGUAAAAUCCCUUCCUCAGCAGCCCCCUGAACCCCCCAGCCCUUCCUGACCCUUCCUGCAGCUAAUUAACGAGCCUCUGGAAGCUUUAAUUGUUUUGUGGGAUCAGCUUCUGCUGCUCCUGACGUUUUCCUUGGCUCUCUCUGCUGGGAACACCUUUUAACCAGCAAAAUGAACACAGGCACCACACCUGGCAGAGAUCUGCCUCUCUGGGAAGGGAGAUCUCCAGAGGCUGCACAUUCCACGGGGAAUAAGAUCCAAAAAUCAAAUCCAGCACAACUCCUGCCACCCAAGGAUGGCCUUGACCUGCACACAUCCAAAUCCUGCCCAGAAGAAACACAUCCAAUGAAAUACUUGCCCCAAGCCCCUGAAAU
rnacentral:lncRNA from 12 species